GUUUUCGAUGAUAGAGCUUCCAAAUUGACGAUCGGCUCCGUUGAACAUGAUCUAUACCACUUGAAAUGUUUAGAAAUCAAAUUUCAAAUCUUUUCGACAUCAUUUGCCUAAUGAUUAAAGGGUUUCAAAAUUUGUAAUUUUAAUGGUCAAUUAGAGGCGUUUUCUCGUUUAACGGCGUAAAGAUAUCCAAAUCAAUUGAAUUUUUGUUAGAAAAUUUUUUAAACUAUUUAAAACAAGAUCUAUACUCUUGAUCUUGAUUAUAAGACUCCUAUCAUCAUUUUUUAAAGAAUAUUCAUUUUCAGCCAUUCAUUUUUCUGUUCACUUGAUGGAUAAAAGAACAAUAUCGAAAGUGCGUGAAAUUUGAUUUCUAGGUAGUUUAAAUGGUUUAGAUCAUAUUUCACGGAGGCGAUCGUUAAUUUGGAAGCUCUAUUAUUGAAAACAAAUAGGUAGUAAAACGGCUCGUUUACUACUGAUAGUAUUCUAGCUCAACUCUAUAUAUAGUGUGACGCUAGAAACUCUCGAGAGUAAACGAGUCGUUUUACUAUCGAGUUGUUUUCGAUGAUAGAGCUUCCAAAUUGACGAUCAGCUCCGUUGAACAUGAUCUAUACCACUUGAAGUGUUUAGAAAUCAAUUUUCAAAUCUUUUUGACAUCAUUUGCCUAAUGAUCAAAGGGUUUCAAAAUUUGUAAUUUUAAUGAUGGAUAAGGGACGUUUUCUCGUUUAACGGUGUAAAGAUAUCCAAAUCAAUUGAAUUUUUGUUAGAAAAUUCUUUAAACUAUUUAAAACAAGAUCUAUACUCUUGAUCUUGAUUACAAGACUCCUAUCAUCAUUUUUUAAAGGAUAUUCAUUUUCAGCCAUUCAUUUUUCUGUUCACUAGAUGGAUAAAAAUAAUAUCGAAAGUGCGUGAAAUUUGAUUUCUAGGUAGUUUAAAUGGUUUAGAUCAUAUUUAACGGAGCCGAUCGUCAAUUUGGAAGCUCUAUCAUCGAAAACAACUCGAUAGUAAAACGGCUCGUUUACUAUCGAGAGUAUUCUAGCUCAACUCUAUAUUAAUGUUACUAGAAUCCUCAUCGAGAGAAACGACCCCCAUUAUACUAUCGAGUUGUUUUCGAUGAUAGAGCUUCCAAAUUGACGAUCAGCUCCGUUGAACAUGAUCUAUACCACUUGAAGUGUUUAGAAAUCAAUUUUCAAAUCUUUUUGACAUCAUUUGCCUAAUGAUCAAAGGGUUUCAAAAUUUGUAAUUUUAAUGAUGGAUAAGGGACGUUUUCUCGUUUAACGGUGUAAAGAUAUCCAAAUCAAUUGAAUUUUUGUUAGAAAAUUCUUUAAACUAUUUAAAACAAGAUCUAUACUCUUGAUCUUGAUUACAAGACUCCUAUCAUCAUUUUUUAAAGGAUAUUCAUUUUCAGCCAUUCAUUUUUCUGUUCACUAGAUGGAUAAAAAUAAUAUCGAAAGUGCGUGAAAUUUGAUUUCUAGGUAGUUUAAAUGGUUUAGAUCAUAUUUAACGGAGCCGAUCGUCAAUUUGGAAGCUCUAUCAUCGAAAACAACUCGAUAGUAAAACGGCUCGUUUACUAUCGAGAGUAUUCUAGCUCAACUCUAUAUAUAUUUGACCUAGAAUAGCUCUAGAGAGUAAACGAGCCGCGUUUACUUCUCAUUUGUUUUCGAUGAUGGAGCCUCCAAAUCGGCGAUCGACACCGUUGAACAUGAUUUAUGCCACUUAAAGUGUUUAGAAAUCAAAUUUCAAAUUUUUUCGACAUCAUUUGCCUAAUGAUCAAAGGGUUUUAAAAUUUGUAAUUUUAAUGGUCGAUAUGAGGCGUUUUCUCAUUUAACGGCGUAAAGAUAUCCAAAUCAAUUGAAUUUCUGUUAGAAAAUUCUUUAAACUAUUUAAAAACAAGAUCUAUACUAUUGAUCCUGAUUACAAGACUCCUAUGAUCAUUUUUUAAAGAAUAUUCAUUUUCAGCCGUUCAUUUUUGUGUCCACUUGAUGGGUAAGAGAACAAUAUCGAAAAUGUAUGAAAUUUGAUUUCUAAACACUUUAAGUGGUAUAGAUCAUGUUCAACGGUGCCGAUCUUCGAUUUGGAGGCUCCAUCAUCGAAAACAAAUGGGUGUCAACGGAGCCCGUUUGCUACCGAUGGUAUUCUAGCUCAACUCUAGCUCAACUCUAUAGUUGAGCUAGAAUACUAUCGGUAGCAAACGGGCUCCGUUGACACCCAUUUCUUUUCGAUGAUGGAGCCUCCAAAUCGACGAUCGGCACCGUUGAACAUGAUCUAUACCACUUGAAACAUUUAGAAACCAAAUUUCAAAUCUUUUCGUCAUCAUUGACCUAAUGAUCAAAGGGUUUCAAAAUUUGUAAUUUUAAUGGUCAAUGUGAGGCGUUUUCUCGUUUAAUGGUGUAAAGAUAUCCAAAUCGAUUAAAUUUUGGUUAGAAAAUUUUUUAAACUAUUUAGAACAAGAUCUAUAAAACUAUCGAUCCUGAUUAUAAGAUUUCCUAAUAUCAAGAUUUUAAAAAAUAUUCAUUUUCAAGCCAUUCAUUUUUGUGUCCACUUGAUGGGUAAGAGAACAAUAUCGAAAAUGUAUGAAAUUUGAUUUCUAAACACUUUAAGUGGUAUAGAUCAUGUUCAACGGUGCCGAUCUUCGAUUUGGAGGCUCCAUCAUCGAAAACAAAUGGGUGUCAACGGAGCCCGUUUGCUACCGAUGGUAUUCUAGCUCAACUCUAGCUCAACUCUAUAGUUGAGCUAGAAUACUAUCGGUAGCAAACGGGCUCCGUUGACACCCAUUUCUUUUCGAUGAUGGAGCCUCCAAAUCGACGAUCGGCACCGUUGAACAUGAUCUAUACCACUUGAAACAUUUAGAAACCAAAUUUCAAAUCUUUUCGUCAUCAUUGACCUAAUGAUCAAAGGGUUUCAAAAUUUGUAAUUUUAAUGGUCAAUGUGAGGCGUUUUCUCGUUUAAUGGUGUAAAGAUAUCCAAAUCGAUUAAAUUUUGGUUAGAAAAUUUUUUAAACUAUUUAGAACAAGAUCUAUACUCUCGAUCUUGAUUAUAAGAUUUCUAUCAUCACUUUUUAAAGAAUAUUCAUUUUCAACCGUUCAUUUUUCUGUUCACUUGAUGGAUAAAAGAACAAUAUCGAAAGUGCGUGAAAUUUGAUUUCUAGGUAGUUUAAAUGGUUUAGAUCAUAUUUCACGGAGGCGAUCGUUAAUUUGGAAGCUCUAUUAUUGAAAACAAAUAGGUAGUAAAACGGCUCGUUUACUACUGAUAGUAUUCUAGCUCAAC
rnacentral:lncRNA from 1 species